rnacentral:tRNA from 1 species
GCCUUCGUGGUGUAACGGUUAACACACUCGGCGCGGAAUUCGAGAGGUCCAGGUUCGAGCCCGGGAGAGAGCA